rnacentral:tRNA from 1 species
UUUUUAAAUAGUUUACAUAUAGAAUAAAACUUUGAAGAAGUUUAGGUGGAAAAUUUAUCUUUUAAAAAU